CCUACGGGAGGCAGCCGUGAGGAAUAUUGGUCAAUGGCCGGAAGGCUGAACCAGCCAUGCCGCGUGAAGGUCAGUGCCCUAUGGGCGUUAAACUUCUUUUGUGCGGGAGCAAUAAUGGUCACGUGUGGCCAGACGAGAGUACCGUACGAAUAAGCAUCGGCUAACUCCGUGCCAGCAGCCGCGGUAAUACGGGGGUUGCAAGCGUUAUCCGGAUUUAUUGGGUUUAAAGGGUGCGUAGGCUGUGCGGUAAGUCAGCGGGGAAAUGCCCCCGCUCAACGGGGUGAAGUGCCAUUGAUACUGCCUUGCUGGAAGGCGGAUGCCGUGGGAGGAAUGUGUGGUGUAGCGGUGAAAUGCAGAGAUAUCACACAGAACACCGAUUGAGAAGGCAUCUCACGAAUCCGCGAUUGACGCUGAUGCACGAAAGCGUGGGUAUCAAACAGGAUUAGAUACCCCAGUAGUC
rnacentral:rRNA from 1 species